GAUGUCUGAUGAGGGUCAAAGGACUUUUUCAGUCUGUUGGUCCUGCACUUGGGAAGGAGCAGCCUGUGGCUGAAGACGCUCCUCUGGUUGUUGAUGACGGUGUGUAGAGGGUGACUGGCAUCGUCCAUAAUGUCCAGUAGUUUGUCCAGUGUUCUUUUCUCUGCUACCGUCACCAGAGAGUCCAACUUCAUGCCAAC